AUGACGUUGUCGGCCACUACUGCGUCGACGACUGCGACGGGUACCCGAACCCGCGUCGGCCUAGCCUUGACCCCGUGUUUGUCCCCUCCCCCUCCUCCUCUUCGCCGUGGGCAUCGCCGCUCGGAAUCUCGCGCUGGAUUUCCUCCCGCGGGGGGAAUUCGGAGAUUCCCGCUGGGAACUCGCCGACAUCCGGGGCGGCCUCCUGCUCGUCUUCGACAGGGUGCUGGCGCCACGCCUCCUCAUCUGCGAUCCCCUGAGGCGAUGCUACAGGGAAAUCCCUGGCUCGGCGUGGUUCCACGGCUGCCACCUGCUGGGUGCUUUCCUCCUCGACGGCGAGGACGCGGAUGCGGGCAUCAGCAUGUCAAACUUCAGGGUGACGUGCGUGCUCUAUCGCUUUCGGAACCGCACCGCCAGGGCCUGUGCCUUCUCGUCCGCCGGCGGCGGCUGGGCCUCCGCCGCCGGGCGUAG
rnacentral:rRNA from 1 species